GCUGUAAGCACGCUGUUGCAGCUAACGUUUUAUAAUGCGUUAUCGAGACUUCUCUUGUAUAUUCAAACUACUGCAAAUUAUAAAAAUGGCUUUCUUAAAGUAGCAACCAAUUAAAUUAAAAAAAGGGGGAGAGUUAUUUUUUUUAUCUGAGUCAGAUUUUUUUUUCGCGCGUACGUUUUUAUUCCUUUUUUUUCGAUGCUGGUUAUCAAAUACUUUUUUUUCAAUAUUUAACACUAUAAUGUAUGGG
rnacentral:lncRNA from 1 species